rnacentral:rRNA from 1 species
GAUUCCCCUAGUAACGGCGAGUGAAGAGGGAAAAGCUCAAAUUUUGAAUCUGGUGCCUUUGGCAUCCGAGUUGUAAUCUAGAGAAGUGUUUUUUGCCUUGGACCACACAUAAAUUCCCUGGAAUGGGGUGUCAUAGAGGGUGAGAAUCCCGUUUGUGGUGUGGACUACCUUGGCUAUGUAAUACACUCUCAACGAGUCGAGUUGUUUGGGAAUGCAGCUCAAAAUGGGUGGUAAAUUCCAUCUAAAGCUAAAUACUGGCGAGAGACCGAUAGCGAACAAGUACCGUGAGGGAAAGAUGAAAAGCACUUUGGAAAGAGAGUGAAACAGUACGUGAAAUUGUUGAAAGGGAAGCGUUUGAAGUCAGUCACAUUGGUCAGAAUUCAGCCUGGCUUCUGCCUGGUUCACUUUUUGGCAAAUGGGUCAGCAUCAAUUUUGAUUGAGGGAGAAAGACUUGAGGAAUGUGGCUGUCUUCGGACAGUGUUAUAGCCUCUUGUUGUAUGUCUCAAUUGGGAUUGAGGAAUGCAGCACGCCUUAUGGCCGGGGUUGGCCCUCGGUACGUGCUUAGGAUGUGACAAA